rnacentral:rRNA from 1 species
CAGCAGCCGCGGGAAUACAGAGGGUGCGAGCGUUAAUCGGAUUUACUGGGCGUAAAGCGUGCGUAGGCGGCUUUUUAAGUCGGAUGUGAAAUCCCUGAGCUUAACUUAGGAAUUGCAUUCGAUACUGGGAAGCUAGAGUAUGGGAGAGGAUGGUAGAAUUCCAGGUGUAGCGGUGAAAUGCGUAGAGAUCUGGAGGAAUACCGAUGGCAAAGGCAGCCAUCUGGCCUAAUACUGACGCUGAGGUACGAAAGCAUGGGGAGCAAACAGGAUUAGAGACCCCCGUAGUCCCUGUCUCUUAUAC